rnacentral:rRNA from 1 species
UACGAAGGGUGCAAGCGUUACUCGGAAUUACUGGGCGUAAAGCGUGCGUAGGCGGUUCGUUAAGUCUGAUGUGAAAGCCCUGGGCUCAACCUGGGAAUGGCAUUGGAUACUGGCGAGCUAGAGUGCGGUAGAGGGGUGUGGAAUUCCCGGUGUAGCAGUGAAAUGCGUAGAUAUCGGGAGGAACAUCUGUGGCGAAGGCGACACCCUGGACCAGCACUGACGCUGAGGAACGAAAGCGUGGGGAGCAAACAGG